rnacentral:lncRNA from 1 species
GUGAGCCGCGCCUUCACCCGCGGGCUGGCCAAACUCGCUUCCCUAUCGGGGCGGGGCAAGGGCGCGGGUCCCUCUGCAGCGCUCUCUCCCUACCCACGGUGGGAUCGCAGCCCUCACAGGGUCCCGCCCUCCCGGAGCCGCACUGAAACCAGACUGCGAGGCCGACUUCCGGGUUCCGUCCCUCCACCUCGCAACGCUGCCAAACCGCGGAGGCCGCGGGGCCGUGCGCCCGGCCAAGACCAGAGGCACUUCCGGGAGAGCGGCCCCGCCCACUCUCGCCCGGGCGCGCGCCUGGGACCCGUUUCCGGUUCCGAAGGUCCGGAAACUGGCUGGAGGGUCCGGUGGGAGUCGGCCGGCAGUUGCGCUCCCUCCGGUCCAGGGGUGCCGCUCCGCCAUUUUGUGCAGAAUCCUGGGGUUGUUCAGGAAACCCUCUUACCAACAGCUGGUAUGGCUCAGCGUCCUGAGCUCCAGGAGUGGUCUGGACUGGUCUAAGGGAGAACAUCAUAAAAAACAGCGCAGAGCUUCCCAUUUGACGAACACUUAGAGAUUCCGGGAGAAUGACAUGCUCAGAGAGCAUGGAAGCUCCGUGCCCCUUCCCAGGUAACUUGCCCUAUACGUCUCUGUAUCUGGUUGCUCCUGGGUUUAUAUCCUUUUAUAAUAAACCAGUAAUGUUUGUUUUCCUUGCUAUCUAAAAAACAUAACAGAGUUGUGGAACAAACUACACAGUCCUUGAGAGAUUCUCUGAGUUCCAUGAAUGUUCCUUCAUAGGUUAUGCACAAAAUUUAAAUGUCAUCGAAGAGGUGAUUUGAAUGAUGUUGCAAAUCAUCAGUUCGUGCCUG